rnacentral:lncRNA from 1 species
AACAAGUUCAUUCUCUUUUGAUUCUUCAAUCGAUCCCACCGCCUAGCUUCGCUCGCCUCUUAUUUCCUCCAUCACAAGUUCAUGUCCCUUUUCUCUCUCCUCUUUGUUCUAUCCUCUAUCUCAUACAUCUAUCCUCUGAAAUUGAUUUUCAUUUUCUAGGGUAAUUUUUUUCUUCUGCUGCUCUCUUUCAAUUCGGUAAGACAUCUAAUAUCAGU